rnacentral:rRNA from 1 species
GAUGAACGCUGGCGGCGUGCCUAAUACAUGCAAGUCGAGCGAAUGGAUUAAGAGCUUGCUCUUAUGAAGUUAGCGGCGGACGGGUGAGUAACACGUGGGUAACCUGCCCAUAAGACUGGGAUAACUCCGGGAAACCGGGGCUAAUACCGGAUAACAUUUUGAACCGCAUGGUUCGAAAUUGAAAGGCGGCUUCGGCUGUCAAUUAUGGAUGGACCAGCGUCGCAUUAGCUAGUUGGUGAGGUAACGGCUCACCAAGGCAACGAUGCGUAGCCGACCUGAGAGGGUGAUCGGCCACACUGGGACUGAGACACGGCCCAGACUCCUACGGGAGGCAGCAGUAGGGAAUCUUCCGCAAUGGACGAAAGUCUGACGGAGCAACGCCGCGCGAGUGAUGAAGGCUUUCGGGUCGUAAAACUCUGUUGUUAGGGAAGAACAAGUGCUAGUUGAAUAAGCUGGCACCUUGACGGUACCUAACCAGAAAGCCACGGCUAACUACGUGCCAGCAGCCGCCGUAA